UUCGCCAGGGGACAACGAGCCCCAGCUUAAAACCCAAAGGACUUGGCGGUGCUUUAGACCCCCCUAGAGGAGCCUGUUCUAGAACCGAUACCCCCCGUUAAACCUCACCCUCUCUUGUUUUUCCCGCCUAUAUACCGCCGNCGUCAGCUUACCCUGUGAGGGCCUCACAGUAAGCAAAAUUGGUAAACCCCAAAACGUCAGGUCGAGGUGUAGCGUACGAGAGGGGAAGAAAUGGGCUACAUUUACUGAGUCAGUAAAUACGGAUGGUGUGCUGAAACUCACACCCCAAGGAGGAUUUAGCAGUAAGGAGGGAAUAGAGAGCCCCCCUGAAAAUGGCCCUGAAGCGCGCACACACCGCCCGUCACUCUCCCCCACAUUAAAUACAAAUACAUAAUAAAUGAGAACCCCACAAGGGGAGGCAAGUCGUAACAUGGUAAGUAUACCGGAAGGUGUACUUGGAAAACC
rnacentral:rRNA from 1 species